rnacentral:rRNA from 1 species
UGGGGAAUAUUGCGCAAUGGGCGAAAGCCUGACGCAGCGACGCCGCGUGAGGGAUGAAGGUCUUCGGAUCGUAAACCUCUGUCAGAAGGGAAGAACAAGCACUGUGCUAAUCAGCAGUGCCCUGACGGUACCUUCAAAGGAAGCACCGGCUAACUCCGUGCCAGCAGCCGCGGUAAUACGGAGGGUGCAAGCGUUAAUCGGAAUUACUGGGCGUAAAGCGCGUGUAGGCUGUAUGGCAAGUUGGAGGUGAAAUCCCACGGCUCAACCGUGGAACUGCCUUCAAAACUACCAAACUAGAGUGCGAGAGAGGAUAGCGGAAUUCCAGGUGUAGGAGUGAAAUCCGUAGAUAUCUGGAAGAACAUCAGUGGCGAAGGCGGCUAUCUGGCUCGUAACUGACGCUGAGAUGCGAAAGCGUGGGUAGCAAACA